CCGCAGUACCCUGACUGUGCAAAGGUAGCAUAAUCACUUGGCUUUUAAUUGAAGUCUAGCAUGAAAGGAAAAACGUAUAAGACCUGUCUCCAUAAAUAAAUUUAUUGAAAUUGCUCUAUAAGGUGAAAAUACCUUAACAGUUAAAAAUAGACGAGAAGACCCUUAGAAUUUUAAUAAAAGCCAGGAACUAUAUAAUGGGUGAUUUUUGUUGGGGCAACAUUUUUUCAUAAAAUAAAAAAUAUCCGUUAAUAUAUAACGAAUGAGUAUAAUAAAGUAAAAAUUACCUAAGGGAUAACAGCAUAAUUUUGAGUAAAGAUUGUGACCUCGAUGUUGGACUAGGAGCUAUUAAGGCUAAUCGUUUUAAUAUAAUAGGUUCUGUUCGAA
rnacentral:rRNA from 1 species